rnacentral:rRNA from 1 species
AUUGAACGCUGGCGGAAUGCUUUACACAUGCAAGUCGAGCGGCAGCGCGGGGCAACCUGGCGGCGAGCGGCGAACGGGUGAGUAAUGUAUCGGAACGUAUCCUGUAGUGGGGGAUAGCCCGGCGAAAGCCGGAUUAAUACCGCAUACGAUCUAUGGAUGAAAGCGGGGGAUCGCAAGACCUCGCGCUAUAGGAGCGGCCGAUAUCUGAUUAGCUAGUUGGUAGGGUAAAGGCCUACCAAGGCGAUGAUCAGUAGCUGGUCUGAGAGGAUGAUCAGCCACACUGGAACUGAGACACGGUCCAGACUCCUACGGGAGGCAGCAGUGGGGAAUUUUGGACAAUGGGGGAAACCCUGAUCCAGCCAUUCCGCGUGAGUGAAGAAGGCCCUCGGGUUGUAAAGCUCUUUCGGCCGGAACGAAACGGUUACGGAUAAUACCCGUGACUAAUGACGGUACCGGAGUAAGAAGCACCGGCUAACUACGUGCCAGCAGCCGCAGUAA